UUCAAUAUCAUAAUUUACUUGCUCUCAUUGAUCAGACCAAGACAACUUCCAUGGCAAAUCAAGUGAGCUCAGCCUCAACAAUAAGCAACCUUUCAGGACCGACACUCGGGGAAGACGAUUGGGACGGGCAUUGAGCGAGAAGGCCUCUACUACUUGGAUAUCACGAAAACAUCUGGGUGCUUCUCUGUUUCGGCAGCCGUCUCCACCAAUCCUGAUCUUUGGCAUCAACGUCUUGGUCAUCCUUCCAAUAAGAGUUUGCAAGCUCUGUCUUUACUUACCAAGACUAUUCCAUUUUGUUCUGUUGAUAGUUGUUCAAUUUGUCCCCUUGCUAAACAGACUCGCAAACCUUUUAGUUUGAGUUCUAUCAAUACAAAUGCAGUUUUUGAAUUAAUUCAUGUU